GGGCUCGUAACUCAGCACGGCUAGAGUGGCGGUCUUUUAAACCGUAGGUCGUGGGUUCAAAUCCCACCGAGCCCG
rnacentral:tRNA from 1 species